rnacentral:rRNA from 1 species
GUGGUGCAUGGUUGUCGUCAGCUCGUGUCGUGAGAUGUUGGGUUAAGUCCCGCAACGAGCGCAACCCUUGAUUUUAGUUGCCAGCAUUUAGUUGGGCACUCUAAAGUGACUGCCGGUGCAAGCCGGAGGAAGGUGGGGAUGACGUCAAAUCAUCAUGCCCCUUAUGACCUGGGCUACACACGUGCUACAAUGGAUAGUACAAAGGGUCGCGAAGCGGCGAGGUGGAGCUAAUCCCAUAAAACUAUUCUCAGUUCGGAUUGUAGGCUGCAACUCGCCUACAUGAAGCCGGAAUCGCUAGUAAUCGUGGAUCAGCAUGCCACGGUGAAUAC